AAAGAAAUAUUUUUAAAAGCUUCUAACUUUUAUUUGAGCAUUAAUGUGUUUAU
rnacentral:tRNA from 1 species